CGGCGGGCGGCCCCGCCCAGCAAUAACGGUCCGGCGCGUGGCGCGCUGCGGCGCAGGCAGAUUUAAGAGAGCGCGGGAGCGACGUGUGCGGCUCGUAGCGGAGGAGGAGGCGCCGAGCAGUGCCGGAGAGGACCGCGGUCGGCCUACACUGGCGAGUGGCGGGGAGAAGCGGUUAUGCGCCGUCGGCAGCCGCCUGUGCCACCUGUUGCCUCCUCGAAAGGCCUGGGAGGACGGAAAGAAACUCGCGGCGAGAACGAGGUUCCAUGGGAAGAAAGCUGUGUACGGAAGACUCAACCAGUGACUGACUAGCUUCAGCUCUAAAGAGGAGGUUUAAAGUCCCGCUCAGAUGGCAUCCAUCGACCGUGGGUAGAAACAGAAGAGGAGCUGAAGGAGCCAUUAGGCCAUGAAAUCAGAUUUCCCACACCUGCCCAUCUGCUAUGAGUCCAGCAUCUUUGGAUAAAGCAUGUUCCACCCAUCUGGCAUUCAUCUGAAGACAUCAGACGUCCACUAAUUCUCCUGUGGAGUUGGAUAGACAUAACACCCCAUUUGCAGAAAAACAUGCCCCGCAACCCCAAGGGAUGCCUCUUUGAGUCACAGAGGAAAAAUAUGAGUCACAAGUAACAAGGACUUAGCAGGAAAGAAAAGAAAGGAAGUGCAGGUGGAUAAGAAGAAAAUUCCCAGGGUUUACGGCCACGUGGCUGUUACUGGGUGAGCACAGACAGACCACUGCAGACUAUCCAGAUGGGACAUGGGCAUAGGCCAGCAGCUCUCUGCCAAGACUUUACAAGAAAGACAGAAAGGGCUGGCAGAGCUUCGGAGCACGGCUACUCUCAGAAAUGACACGCCGUCAUGUCGAAAGCCCUGCAAGUGCUCUUUGCCUCAAGAGAACAGAGUGAAAAAACUGCAGGUAGUAGGCACAGCUGCCUGAAAUGCCAGCCUUUCACCCACUCCGUAUCAACUGCUUCAGCUGCUUCUGCAGCAGCAUGCAUCAGGGUGAGGAGAAAAGGAGACCAGAAUUCACAGUGAGACCAGGGCAGGACACGAGAAACCGACUGUGAGGUCCACAUCGAGGUCCAAGAGCUUUUCAUGCCAACAUAAAUUGUGAACUACCCUGGACUGGGCUUCUGCUAAAAAGAGACUCUAGUUGGGAAACAUUUUUCAGCCAUACCUCUCUUCAGGCUGAUUAUUUCACAUUUGUUAUCCAGAGCUGAAGGUCAUUUGACGCAUUGAGUUAUUUAUCCAGGGAUUUGGGUGCUUGGAGUGACAAUUGCUCCAUUAUGAACAUCAACUGUGGUUCUUCCCAAUUUUGCUAAGAAAUGUGAAGCCCUAAGGCAGCCUUAAAGAAAGAAACCUCACCAAGUUUGCAGGGGACAGUAUCGCUCAGACGCUGCCAAGAGCCAGCUGCCACGUUGUGCAGCUCCCACAAUCCAAAACUAACCAGCGAGAACUCAGCCAGAGGAGGAGGCAGGCCCCCAACAAACCCCUAAAAGCAGAAGUUGCGAACCAGCCACAGAUUUUUUUUUCAGCUUAUCAGCUCAUCAAUACUGCCAAGGCUUUAAGAGCUAUUCUGCCUUAAUAAAAAUACAAGGCUAUUAAUAGACAGCUCCACAUGGAAAUUCUUCAUACUGACUCAACUUCCUAAUGCAACAGCUUUACUGGACUCUUCAGAAGAGCAGGUUUGAUUCAUUUAAAAUGCCUGUUUUUCAGAACAGUAAUGAUGCAAAGCAUAGAUACUUUUCUGCCGAAGCAAAUCAGACAGCAGAAGAAAUUCAUUUCAUAUUUCAGUGGCCUCUGAGGGUCUUUGGAGAAACCAUUCCUAUGGCCAGAGCCAAGCCAGGAUACUUUACAGUGAUGAAUGUGACCAAGUAUUUGUGCAGGUGGUUGUUGGUGUGAAACAUCUCCAGUGUCCUCAAGGUGGACCUCACACCAGAACGCAGCUCUAUGAUUAUCCACAGGCUGGUGACACCUCUGUGGUGAUGUGCUGUUAUGACAAUGAAUAAUGAAAACAAUAAAGUACAUGAUUUACUGA